UUAAUUGAAGCCAAAGUUGAGGCCUUUCAUUGUUAAUGAAAAAAUUGAUUAUUAUAAUAAUCCAAUUAAA
rnacentral:tRNA from 1 species